CUCAAAUUUACAGUGUGUUUUCUUGUAAAUUAUAGUGUAAUUUAUGAAAUUUACAGUGUAACUUUUGUAAGUUACAGUGUAAUUUUUGAAUCUUUGCAUGUAAGUUUUGAAAUAUAUAUUAGAUUUGGUUUUUUUCUUGAAGAUAUGGU
rnacentral:snRNA from 1 species